AUUGAACGCUGGCGGCAUGCUUUACACAUGCAAGUCGAACGGUAACAGGUUAAGCUGACGAGUGGCGAACGGGUGAGUAAUGCAUCGGAACGUGCCCGGUCGUGGGGGAUAACGCUGCGAAAGCUGCGCUAAUACCGCAUAAGAUCUGAGGAUGAAAGCGGGGGACCGAAAAGCCUCGCGCGAUCGGAGCGGCCGAUGUCAGAUUAGGUAGUUGGUGGGGUAAAGGCUCACCAAGCCAACGAUCUGUAGCUGGUCUGAGAGGACGACCAGCCAAACUGGGACUGAGACACGGCCCAGACUCCUACGGGAGGCAGCAGUGGGGAAUUUUGGACAAUGGGCGAAAGCCUGAUCCAGCAAUGCCGCGUGCAGGAAGAAGGCCUUCGGGUUGUAAACUGCUUUUGUACGGAGCGAAAAGGUCUCCUCUAAUACAGGGGGCUCAUGACGGUACCGUAAGAAUAAGCACCGGCUAUCUACGUGCCAGCAGCCGCCGUAA
rnacentral:rRNA from 1 species